GGGUUGUCUUGGCAGAGAUGCUAGAGUGGUUGGCCACGUCCUUCUCCAGCCCAUUUGACACAUGAGGAAACUGAGGCAAACAGUGAAGUGACUUGCUCAGUCACAGGGCUACACCAACAGCUACACUCACAGGAGCCAACUCUGAGGAACACUCUGCUAGAUCAAGCCCAACGGCUGAUUGACACAGUAGCUGAGACACAAUGCCCUGCAAGUGGGUGAGCGACUUGUCCAUCGGCAAAGGCACACGUCAAGUGAAUUUUGAGACAGGAAUGCUUCAUAAUGACUUUAAGUUUGAACCCACUAUCCCCACAGACCAACCCUAUUGGAGGAGGCAAGAUCAGGAAGGUGUGAGCAAAGAGAGCCCAGCUUUCUUUCUGGAUUGGUGUCAAUUGGCUCUGAUAAUGUUCCUCACUUCUGCCUCUCCAUAUCCUGCACCAGCUGUCCUCCUUGCCUAGAGAGCUCUCUGGCUUCACCUCUGCUCAUAGCAUCCUUAGUUUCCUUCAAAAUGCCACUCAAGUUCCACAUUCUUCAUGAUGACUUUCUUGAUCAUUCUCCUCAGUUAUCAGAAUGUCCCUCUGUCUCCUUCCUCCAUUGCAUUGUAUUGAUUUCAUACAUAUUUUCUAUAAACCUGUGUAUGC
rnacentral:lncRNA from 1 species